rnacentral:rRNA from 1 species
GACGAACGCUGGCGGCGUGCUUAACACAUGCAAGUCGAACGCUGAGGCCUGGUGCUUGCACGGGGCGGAUGAGGGGAGAAGGGGUGAGUAAUACGUGAAUAACCUGCCCUAGACUCUGGGAUAAUCCUGGGAAACUGGGUCUAAUACGGGAUAUGACAUGGCACUGCGGGGUGGUGUGUGGAGAGGGUUUUGCUGGUUUUGGAUGGGCUCACGGCCUAUCGGCUGGUUGGGGGGGGAUUGGCCAACAAAGGGGUGGGCGGGUAGCCGGCCUGGGUGGGUGGCCGGCCACACGGGAACUGGGUCACGGCCCAGACUCUUCCGGGGGGCAGCAGUGGGGAAUAUGGCACAAUGGGCGGAGGCCUGAUGCGGCGACGCGGCGUGGGGGAUGACGGCCUUCGGGUUGUAACCCUCUUUCAGCACGGAAGAGGCGGGAGUGACGGUACGUGCAGAAGAGGCCCCGGCUACCUACGG